rnacentral:rRNA from 1 species
ACGGGUGAGUAAUGCCUAGGAAUCUGCCUGGUAGUGGGGGACAACGUUUCGAAAGGAACGCUAAUAUCGCAUACGUCCUACGGGAGAAAGCAGGGGACCUUCGGGCCUUGCGCUAUCAGAUGAGCCUAGGUCGGAUUAGCUAGUUGGUGAGGUAAUGGCUCACCAAGGCGACGAUCCGUAACUGGUCUGAGAGGAUGAUCAGUCACACUGGAACUGAGACACGGUCCAGACUUCUACGGGAGGCAGCAGUGGGGAAUAUUGGACAAUGGGCGAAAGCCUGAUCCAGCCAUGCCGCGUGUGUGAAGAAGGUCUUCGGAUUGUAAAGCACUUUAAGUUGGGAGGAAGGGUUGUAGAUUAAUACUCUGCAAUUUUGACGUUACCGACAGAAUAAGCACCGGCUAACUCUGUGCCAGCAGCCGCGGUAAUACAGAGGGUGCAAGCGUUAAUCGGAAUUACUGGGCGUAAAGCGCGCGUAGGUGGUUUGUUAAGUUGGAUGUGAAAUCCCCGGGCUCAACCUGGGAACUGCAUCCAAAACUGGCAAGCUAGAGUAUGGUAGAGGGUGGUGGAAUUUCCUGUGUAGCGGUGA